rnacentral:lncRNA from 1 species
UGCACUUGCACAAGCAGCAUAAUUCCUCUAGCAAGUUGUGAUUCUCUAUUGUUUAUAGCAACCCAUCAAAACAAGCUCUCAACCUAGUCAAGUUGCCUAAAAUAUCUGGAUCUAAUCUAGCAGCUAAUAACAUGAUGGAACAAGUUCUAAUCUAGCAGCUAUAAGAUGGUUGAACAAGUUCAGUCAAUUGAAAUCAAGGUGAAACAAAUGCUUGAACACGACACAAAUAGACUUUUGGGUGACUUUUGGGUGGCACCGGUUUGACACUCUGUUCUACUACAUUCCUCAUGUGUUCCAUCUAAGUGAACACAUGUAGUUCACUAGACUUUAUUGAAGAUUUUUGCUGGUGAUUAAAAGGAAUAUCCUUCUCUUUUCCUCCUUUUUCUGGGAGAAUAUACGACAGAUUAGCAUUUACUUUGAACAUGACACAACCAGAAAGAAAAUCCUGUUAGAAAUAUCUGGAUCUAAUCUAGCAGCUAAUAACAUGAUGGAACAAGUUCUAAUCUAGCAGCUAUAAGAUGGUUGAACAAGUUCAGUCAAUUGAAAUCAAGGUGAAACAAAUGCUUGAACACGACACAAAUAGACUUUUGGGUGACUUUUGGGUGGCACCGGUUUGACACUCUGUUCUACUACAUUCCUCAUGUGUUCCAUCUAAGUGAACACAUGUAGUUCACUAGACUUUAUUGAAGAUUUUUGCUGGUGAUUAAAAGGAAUAUCCUUCUCUUUUCCUCCUUUUUCUGGGAGAAUAUACGACAGAUUAGCAUUUACUUUGAACAUGACACAACCAGAAAGAAAAUCCUGUUAGAAAUUUGAGGCUGGACUAGUCCUAUUGCCAAACUAUUUGGACUCACUAAACCAAAAUUUGGCUCAAGCUUGGUUCUGCACUCAAGCUUGUUUAUGCUAUUAAGCAAAUACCAAACUUAUAGACCCUCAACUUAAAAGGCUGCAAACCUUUCUUUAUAUUCAAAAACUUUUUAGAGGCUCAAACUCAUUUUUGUCGACCUCGAACUAGUUGGGACUCAAUACUUGAUGUAGGGCAAAGUAAGGUUACUUUACCUAUUAAGAAAUUUGGGAAAAAACCUAAAUAUUGCACUCAUAGUUCUUAGGCUUCGCACCUAAGGGUUGGUUGAAUCACAUCAUCAAUUAAGAGAAAUUCUCAAAAAAAAAAUAUCAUUAAAUACUUGGAUGUUCCAUAAGUAAAAUUACAAACUAUUUAUAAUAAUUUCUAAGCAACAUUUUCUAAAUAGAAUUAAAAUAAGAAAUCAUAAACUAAGAGAAAUAGAAAUAUCACUCCUAAUAAGAAUAAGAAACUAAUAUUAAUAGUAUUAUGAAUACUAAUAAACCUAGAAAUCCUAAAUUAUUAAAAUUA